GAUAAACUCAAAAAAAAAUAUGGCUUCUGCUUUACAAAUUUCUUCUCAGUACAGUAAAAUUGCUCUUUGUUCUUUAUUUCCUGUUUUUCCAAAUUUAAGAAAACCAAACAAGGCACUAAAUUCAGUUACCUCAAAUUCCAAUAAAAAGUUUAAAAUUAGAGCAUUGAAGGAGAAAACAACAGAAGAAGUUAAAUCUGCUGAGGAAAUUACAAAGAAAUUUGGUUUAGAAGCUGGCCUAUGGAAGAUAUUUAGCUCAAAAGAGGAUAGAGAUGAAGAGAACAAGGAUAAGAAAUCAAAAGGGGAUCAAGCAAAAGAGCUUUUGGCAAAAUAUGGAGGAGCUUAUUUAGCAACUUCAAUUACUCUCUCAUUGAUAUCAUUUGGUCUCUGUUAUGCUCUCAUCAAUUCUGGUGUUGAUGUUCAAUCCUUGCUACAAAAGGUUGGUAUUUCUACUGAUGAGACUGGUGAGAAAGUGGGAACUUUUGCAUUGGCUUAUGCCGCUCACAAAGCCGCAUCACCUAUUAGAUUUCCCCCUACUGUUGCUUUAACACCAAUUGUUGCUACUUGGAUUGGAAAGAAAGUUGAUAAAGAGAAGUAAAACUAGGUUGAUUUUGGACACAAUUUUGCUGCAGAUGUAAUAUAUGUGUUAGUAAAUACUACAGGUUAAUUAUAUUUACUACUAUUUAAUUGUUAUUGUCAAGUAUAACAACACUGUUG
rnacentral:misc_RNA from 1 species